GAUCAUGGCUCAGGAUGAACGCUAGCUACAGGCUUAACACAUGCAAGUCGAGGGGCAGCAUGACCUAGCAAUAGGUUGAUGGCGACCGGCGCACGGGUGAGUAACACGUAUCCAACCUACCGGUUAUUCCGGGAUAGCCUUUCGAAAGAAAGAUUAAUACCGGAUAGUAUAACGAGAAGGCAUCUUUUUAUUAUUAAAGAAUUUCGAUAACCGAUGGGGAUGCGUUCCAUUAGUUUGUUGGCGGGGUAACGGCCCACCAAG
rnacentral:rRNA from 1 species